rnacentral:rRNA from 1 species
AGCGAACGCUGGCGGCAUGCUUAACACAUGCAAGUCGCACGAAGGUUUCGGCCUUAGUGGCGGACGGGUGAGUAACGCGUAGGAAUCUAUCCAUGGGUGGGGGAUAACCCGGGGAAACUGGUGCUAAUAUCGCAUGAUACGUGAGGGUCAAAGGCGCAAGUCGCCUGUGGAGGAGCCUGCGUUCGAUUAGCUAGUUGGUGGGGUAAAGGCCUACCAAGGCGAUGAACGAUAGCUGGUGUGAGAGGAUGAUCAGCCACACUGGGAGGUGGGACGCGGCCCAGACUCCUACGGGAGGCAGCAGUGGGGAAUAUUGGACAAUGGGGGCAACCCUGAUCCAGCAAUGCCGCGUGUGUGAAGAAGGUCUUCGGAUUGUAAAGCACUUUCGACGGGGACGAUGAUGACGGUACCCGUAGAAGAAGCCCCGGCUAACUUCGUGCCAGCCGCCGCAGUAA